rnacentral:rRNA from 1 species
GACAGAGGGUGCAAACGUUGUUCGGAAUUACUGGGCGUAAAGCGAGUGUAGGCGGUCCGAUAAAUCGGGUGUGAAAGCCCUGGGCUCAACCCCAGGAAGUGCACUCGAAACUGACGGGCUAGAGUAUCGGAGAGGUUGGUGGAAUUCUCGGUGUAGAGGUGAAAUUCGUAGAUAUCGAGAGGAACACCGGUGGCGAAAGGCGGCCAACUGGACGAAUACUGACGC